UAUAUUUUGGUAUCUGAUGUAUCUUUCUACACUAUGUUCCUUUAACUUCUCAGAACGUUCCUGCCCCUUCAGUUCAACGGACAUCUGAAACCCACCUGGGAGCUGGUCCAGGAAAUGAUGGACUCUGAUUUCCAUGCCCCCUUCCUGUGAAAUUAUCUCCAAUUUAGUCUCUCAAGAUCCCUUUCUUGUGAGUUAGUUUCUCCCUAGUGCUACUUCUCAGAUUGGCCAGUGACUCACAGAAUGGCACAAGUACAAAUCCAGGCUGCCUUUUGUCCAACUCAGAUUCCAGGACCACUGAAACCAGCUGAGGCAUCCUGAAAGCCUAAGAUUGACCACACCAGAGGAACCAGACUGCCCUUCACAAGGGAAAGCCCAACAGCACUGACAUUUGGAAAGGCAAUCUGAAGAAUUUCAGUGGAGGAAAUGAAUAUUUCUCAUCCAAAUCAGGCAACACUCUAAAACAAAGAAAACUUUAAGGAGUUUAGUUCCUAAAAAGGGUGGAGGUGGUUGACAGAAGGAAAACUAGUGGUUUAUAUUGUGUGUGUGCGCGUGUGUGUGUGUAUGUUAUUUAAUGGCUUGUGUUUAACUCUCAGAUAAAUUCCUUUUUAGUAAAUUCACAUAGGUAUUCCUCUCUAAACAAUGUACAACUGAUCUUAACAAUGAAAGUUUAGGAUUUCUGAUAAUUCAUAGGUAUAAAAUAGGAAUUCUCUGAGUGUGACAUAGCAGGACUCUAAAGACAGCUUUGCAAAGGAGAAUCACUCCUCACCAGCCCCAACUUCGGAACUGUAAUUAUGUAUUUGAGUUGUUUAAAAGUGGUGCAACUCUUUACUUUUGAAACAAGUUGUGAGCCUCUGACAUAUGAUAUCUGCGUCCACAUAUGUACUCAUAAUUUAAAACAUUUUAAAUAAAGAAAGUAUUAUUCUUUGGUGAAUCGAAUUCAAAUAAUAGUAGACAGACAGAAAGACUAUAGCUCAUAAUUGAAGUGCCCACAUCUGUCACAAUUUCCCAGGGUUGUCCUAACAAAGUGCCACUAACUGGGUGGCUUAAAAUAACAGAAAUGUGUUCUCUCACAGUUCUGGAGGCUGGAAGUCAAAAACGAAGGUGCUGGCAGGGCCAUGCUCCAUCCGAAGCCUCUAGAGAAAAAUCCUUCUUUGCCUCUUUCAGCUUCUGGUGGUUGUCGGCAGUGCUUGCUGUCCCCUGGACUGUGGCUGCCUCAUUCCGGUUUCCUCCUUGGCAUCACAUGGGGCUCUUGUUGUGUCUGUGUGUCCAGACUGCCCUCUCCUCUCCCUUAG